UACGGAGGGUGCAAGCGUUGUUCGGAUUUAUUGGGCGUAAAGCGCGUGUAGGCGGUUUCUUAAGUCUGAUGUGAAAGCCCUGGGCUCGACCCAGGAAGUGCAUUGGAUACUGGGAGACUUGAAUACGGGAGAGGGUAGUGGAAUUCCUAGUGUAGGAGUGAAAUCCGUAGAUAUUAGGAGGAACACCGGUGGCGAAGGCGGCUACCUGGACCGAUAUUGACGCUGAGACGCAAAAGCGUGGGGAGCAAACAGG
rnacentral:rRNA from 1 species